GAUGGACGCUAGCUACAGGCUUAACACAUGCAAGUCGAGGGGUAACGAGAGGGAAGCUUGCUUUCCUUGUCGACGACCGGCGCACGGGUGAGUAACGCGUAUCCAACCUGCCCCCAACUAGGGAAUAACCUUGCGAAAGUAAGACUAAUACCCUAUAAUUUCCUCAGAUGCCAUCUGACGAGGAAUAAAGAUUUAUCGGUUGUGGAUGGGGAUGCGUCUGAUUAGCUUGUUGGCGGGGUAACGGCCCACCAAGGCAACGAUCAGUAGGGGUUCUGAGAGGAAGGUCCCCCACAUUGGAACUGAGACACGGUCCAAACUCCUACGGGAGGCAGCAGUGAGGAAUAUUGGUCAAUGGGCGGAAGCCUGAACCAGCCAAGUAGCGUGCAGGAUGACGGCCCUAUGGGUUGUAAACAGCUUUUAUACAGGAAUAAAGUUAGCCACGUGUGGUUAUUUGUAGGUACUGUAUGAAUAAGGACCGGCUAAUUCCGUGCCAGCCGCCGCAGUAA
rnacentral:rRNA from 1 species